GGGCGAGUGGUGGAACUGGCAGACACGCAGCGUUCAGGGCGCUGUGGCCGCAAGGUCGUGAGGGUUCAAGUCCCUCCUCGCCCA
rnacentral:tRNA from 5 species